GUUUACGGUUAGUAAAAAAAUGUCUGACAGAAAGUGCCGGAAGCUCCGGAAGUAUCCUUUUCGUUGUGGUUGGAUGCAGAUAAACGGUAGAUUAUUGGCCGCUGUGUUAUGUAAGGAUGUCAAUAUGGAUCACGGAAGAUCCUAGCAACCUAUCGCGUCUGGCCAAACUACGUCGAUUCCAUUCCAACGUGCUGAUACCACAUUAACUCCAGUCGUCCAACAGCAAGAGCUAAAAUCAGGAAUGCCCUAUUCGCCUUCGUCUUUCAACCUUGCAGUGCGCUACCGUUUCCAAUGCUUCGCUGGACCAACCAAAUGAACGUCUUAGCUUUGCUAACGUCGACUAGAAGAUCCACGCCUCUAUAGAAAAUUUAUACCAAUUAUCAAUAACCAGAAACCAACAUGGCUCGAGUAUGUUUGAAAUCGACUGCUCCACGACCACGAACAUAACAACAACGCCUCCUGUCCUUCAGGCAAAUAUAUCUCAGAUUAAAAAAAUCGACCAGGUACACAAGCAGAAAGAAAGUCUUUUAAAUACGACUGCUAAGACAAAAUAAUAUUGUGUUGUUUUACUUGCAAUAUUAAACUGACAGCAUAAUGUAUUUCAAUGAG